rnacentral:lncRNA from 1 species
AAAUUUAAAUAAUAAAAAAAAUAGGCAAUUGCUUAUAUACCUCUGAAAAAAUUUUUUGACUUUUUGAUUUAUCCUUCUUAUAAAGUUAAUAUUAAAAAUAUCCUUUUAACGUUCCAACAUAUUUCAAAUAUAUCCUUAGAGUUAAUCUCUGUUAAUAAACUGUUAGUAAUAGUUGUUAGUAAUAGUUGUUAUCUGUAUAAAAUUACUACUUUGUCUUUUCAAAUAUACCUUUCUACCAUCACUGAUUUUUCGUAUUUGCUCUUAAGUUAGGGGCACAAAGAGUAUUUUAAUUUUUUAUCUUUUCAAAUAUAUUUUUCUACCAUCACCAACAUUUCUUGUUUGCCCUUAAGUUAAGGGCAAAAGAGUCAUUUUAAAUUUUUUUUAACUCUAGUAGAUAUUUAACUCACGUUUAAUUUAAGUUAACUUAAUGGGUGAUAACUAUAGAGAUAUUUUAGAAUAAUGGAUAAACAUAUAAAAGGUAUAUUGAAAAGAAAAUAAAUAGGAUAAAUGAGAUUUUUCUAAAGUUUUGAAAAAUAUAUAGGCAAUUAUCCCUAAAAAAAAUUACAUAUAUAUAUA